GACUGGAUACCUGAGUCGGGGUCGAGCGUGAGACUCUUAAUCACAGGGUUGUGGGUUCAAGCCCCGCGUUGGGCA